CUCUACGGCCAUACCACCCUGACUGUGCCUGAUCUUGUCUGAUCUUGGAAGCUAAGCAGGGUCAGGCCUGGUUAGUACUUGGAUGGGAGGACAUUCGUGGUAAGAA
rnacentral:rRNA from 2 species